CUGGUUCGAGCUGAGGCUGGCUCAGUUUAUCACUUAGCAGGCGAAGGCGGCUUGUAAAGCUUUUGGGCUGAAAAUUAGCAACAACCGAAAGUUACCCAGUUCCCAGUUGCAGUUGCAGAAUGCACAAUUGGACUAACGAACGCCAACACCGACAUGUCGGUAAAAAAGUGAAGGCGAUUAUGAUCGUAAAACGUCGCACAUAAAAUCCAUUCCCCGGUGCACAAAACUCACAUUGCCCGAGUGAUCUGACCUUGAGUUGUAUUAGAUUGCGAAAUUCGACAAAAUAUACACGUUUUAUUUAAAAUUCAACGCAAUCAACUAUUAAAAUCAAGUAAUCUACUGCUAUAAAGCAUUAAUGCUUCACCAAUGAGUUGAGUACAACGCCAUUGCGUUCUUUUUACCCUCGAAAAGGACGUCAGCCGCAGCUUUUUGUACGCACUUGAUUCACUCGGUAACGUCAAUCUCCGGCUACCGGCAAAAACAACAACCAUCCCGAAUCGAGACUCGAUGAUUAUCCGAGUGGGGAGCAGCAUUAUCGCGGUAUUCCGGAGAAAACGGUGGCGCAAGUAGUGAGCAGUGUUUCCACACUUGCAUUAGGCGAUAAUAAGAUAGUAAAAGUAGCAAAAAAAUGCUCACCAGCCAAUAAAUAAUGAGGUUUCAUCCGAUGAAAAGUCAGAAGCCAAAUUGUGAUAGCACCAAAUACGAUGAACCACCAGCCAUUGAUUUAUCCGUACGAGAAAUCUAGUUCCUGGUACUCGCAAACCAAUAUGCAGAACCGAAAAUAAAAAACAAAAAUCUUGCAGGGGGAUUUUCGCCCAAGCAAGGAGGCAGGUAAUAAGAAAACCGUGACGCAAAAGCUCGCUGGCGAAGCUUGACCAAUGGGAUGAUUGUGCGCGAUCCUCCAUUCGUCGUCCGUCAGUCAAGUGGCGAGGAAGCGAAUGGUCUUGUCAACCUUGAACGUCUAUUCCCAUGUCCCAGCGGCUCUUGAUGGCUUCACUCAACCAUGUGAGCGGAUUUCACCUCUCAACCAUUCAAGGAUUCCUCAACCAAGUGAGCGGUUGAAUCCAGGUUAUAAGCGACUCACAGUAGCGGCUGGUCCGGAGCAGACGGCCGAAC